rnacentral:rRNA from 1 species
GUGACGAAGCGACGCCGCGUGCGGGAAGAAGGCCUUCGGGUUGUAAACCGCUGUCGGGAGUUAGGAAGUGCAAGGAUGUUAAUAGCGUUCUUGCUUGACUAAGGCUCCGGAGGAAGCCACGGCUAACUCUGUGCCAGCAGCCGCGGUAAUACAGAGGCGGCAAGCGUUGUUCGGAAUUAUUGGGCGUAAAGAGCACGUAGGCGGCCGUGUAAGUCGGUUGUGAAAGCCUUCCGCUUAACGGAAGAACGGCAUCCGAUACUGCAUAGCUUGAGUGCGGGAGGGGAGAGUAGAACUUCUGGUGGAGCGGUGAAAUGCGUAGAUAUCAGAAGGAACACCGGCGGCGAAGGCGACUCUCUGGUCCGUAACUGACGCUGAGUGUGCGAAAGCUAGGGGAGCAAACGGGAUUACAUACCCCGGUAGUCCUAGCCGUAAACGAUG